rnacentral:lncRNA from 13 species
AUAGCUGGUACCACAGGUGAACACCACCAUGCCUGGCUGGAGUGCAGUGGCAGGAUAAGGACUUGUUGCAGCCUCAACCUCCUGGGCUCAAGUGAUUCUCCCAUCUCAGCCGCUGGAAUAGCUGAGACCCCAGGUACACACCACCAUGCUAGGCUAAGUUUUUCUAUUUUUGGUAGGGAUGGGUUUUUGUCACGUUGCCCAGUCUUGUCUCAAACUCCUGAAGUCAAGUCAUCUGCCCACUUCAACCUCCCAAAGUGCUGGGUUACAGGCACGAGCCUCUGUGCACAGCCCUUUUUUCUUCUUUCUUCUUUCUUUUUUUUUUUUUUUGCCAAUCAGUUUGAGCUUAUGAGGUUGCUCAGGAUAGCCUUGAACUGAUGACCUCACCUUCGCGAGCGCCAUGACCUCCGGCAGGAGCUACUUUGGACCCCCCCCCUUUUUUUUUAAGAUUAGCUUUCACUCUUUAUAUAGGCUGGAGUGACCAAUGUGAUCACAACUUGCUGUAGCCUCAACCUCCUGGGCUCAAGUGAUCAUCCCACCUCAGCUUCUUGAAUACCUUGAACCACAAGUGUACAUCACCACAUGUGGCUAAU